rnacentral:rRNA from 1 species
CACGUAGGGGGCGAGCGUUGUCCGGAUUCAUUGGGCGUAAAGAGCUCGUAGGCGGCUCAGUAAGUCGGGUGUGAAACCCUCAGGCUCAACCUGGGGACGCCACUCGAUACUGCUGUGGCUAGAGUCCAGUAGAGGAGUGUGGAAUUCCCGGUGUAGCGGUGAAAUGCGCAGAUAUCGGGAGGAACACCAACGGCGAAGGCAGCACUCUGGGCUGGAACUGACGCUGAGGAGCGAAAAGCGUGGGUAGCAAACAGG